UCUUCAGGAAGAGGGUUGGGCAGCCCUGAUCUAAAUCAAUCAAAUGAUUAAUAAUCAGUGAUCACUGCUGUUAUGUUUGUCUCUAUUUCCACUGAAGGAACCAGAAGUGUUCCCUGGACAGACUUGGAAACCUUCACCCUAGUCAACAUAUGGGGAGAUGACAAAAUGUAGAGGGAAUUGAUUGAGGGGUAUGCAUAGAAAUGGGCACCUUUUUGCUGUGAUAUCCCAAAGGAUGUCUGCCCAGGGCGUUAUAAGGACUGCAGAGCAGUGCCAGACAAGGGUUAAAAGACUGAAACUGAGUUUCCGACAGUGCUAUGAGAACAAGUAUGUCAGUUAUAGUUUAACAAUCAUUUUCUUUGUGCAUUGGGAGUCCCACAGAGAUCUAUGCUCGGGCCUUUGCAUUCAUGUUUGAUAUCCUGUCAUGGCUUACAUUUUGUCUAUUUGAGACAGAAAAAUGCUUUGCUUUGAAAAUGUGCUUUGUUUUCUUUCCCCAAACGCAGCAUGAAAGGCAGAGAGCAAGUAGAAUGCAAAUUAUAUGACCUGCUGGAGAGAAUACUGGGGAAUGAGCUUCCCUCACAUGUGGAGAUGUCAGAACUGUCUUGACAUGGAGUCUAGAGAAUCAUCAUCAGCAGACAACGAGUGCUCUGUUUACUCUUCCCAGGAGAGGGGGGCUAUGGUGGGCGUGCCAGAGGACAGGAAGAAGAUCCCCUGGGCGGACGGCGAGACGGUGAUCCUCCUGGAGCUCUGGGGAGACGACACUGUGCAGCAGAACCUGAAGCGCUGCCCGCACAACAGUCACAUAUACUCAGAGAUUUCGGGAAAGCUCAACUUCCGUGGUUAUUACAGAACUGCAGAUCAGUGCCACACCAGGAUAAAGCGAUUGAAAGCCGGCUAUCGGCAGUGCCAGGAAACCAUCUGGUAAUCAUUGCAUUUCAGCUUCUAUUAUUGAUACAUUUGUAAUUUUGCUAAUGUAAAUUGAAUUAAAGAUUGAUUCUAAUUUUGCAAUCUCUCUAACUGUGCACUUCCUAGUUAAUCUGGAUCUGAGCAGGUUGAUUUUAAGUUCUACGAUAUUUUAGAUCAAAUACUUGAGAUGCAGCCUCCCUCCACCAGCACAGUAUGUUUGUACCCCACAGAUUUAUAUUGGACACUUUCUGAUGUUUUUAUGUUGAUAUUAUUUUGCAGAAACAUACAAAUAAGUUUACUCUAGUCUAACCCAUAGCCAGAAUACUCCAUCUCAAGUUUUUUAAAUGGCUUCCUUUUCUGUCUGCUGUUCUCAGAUGUGGAAGAAAAGUAGCGGAACACAGGUUCUACAAUCAGUUGGAGCGAAUACUUGGUCAUGAAGUGGUCUCCAUUGAUGAGUAUGAUGAAAGAGAUGAUCAAACAGUAGACCAGGACACAGGUACAUUGGCAGUACAGACGGUUUAUCUGUUUACAUUGAAGACUCAGUCAAUCAAAUCAGCAGAGCCGUACCUAUGAUCUGGAUCUAGCCGUACCUAUGAUCCUGGAGCAGGUGCUGAAGGGAUGAGAUAUACCCCGUGGUCAGAGACGCUGGCCCUCAUUGAGCUGUGGGGGAACGAGGAGGUCCAGAAGAGCCUCCGAGGUUGCGUUGGCAAAGGGCACAUUUUCGCCGACAUAGCGGAGAAGCUGGCCACCAUUGGGCACUUCAAAACGGCUGAGCAGUGCCACUCGAGGGUUAAGCGGCUGAGGAAAACUUACCGACGGUGUCUCCACAGCAGGACAAACAGAGGGGAGCCCUUACUCUUCAGAUACUACAGGUUCCUGGAGCCGGUGCUAGGCAACGACACUCUCUCCCUCGAUGCAGAGAUUGUUGAUUUGUGUGAUGACUUCAGUCCACAUCCCACUGAGGAACCAGAUCAGGAAACAUGCCAGGGCUCAGUCAGUUACGCUGUGACAGAGUCCAGCAGAAAGAUGCCCUGGUCCGAUCGGGAGACCCAGGCUCUGCUGGAGGUCUGGGGUGAGGACCACGUGCAGCUCUCCCUCCGCGGCUGCUUGAAGAACAGACACGUGUUUGAGUACAUCUCAUGGAGGAUGACGGCCCAAAGAUUCAUAAGGACGGCUGAGCAGUGCCACACCCUCAUCAAACGACGCAAGGCCAGCUUCCACCGUGACAACUAGCCGUCCUUUAACUGACGGCUCCAAGUUCCCCUGGAGUGCCAGUGAAACCGAGGUCCUCCUCAGUAUCUGGGGGAGUGACGAGGUCCAGCAGGAUCUGAAGGACUGCACCAAAAACAGACACAUUGUCACUGAGAUCUCUCAGGCAAUGGCCAACGAGGGCUAACUGAGGACAGCCCAACCGUUCCAGUCUAGAGUGAAGCUGCUAAAGGCCAACUUCCGCCAGUUCUGUGAGAGCAAUCAGGUUGGAGGGGAAGAAGUGGAGUGCAAAUUCUAUGAUCAGUUUGUGCAAAUAUUUGGGAACAAGUGUCUAUCCUGUGAUUCUCUGGCUGAGAAAUCGAACGGCGCCACAGACAUGCGAGAGGUCCCAGGUGGACAAGUCCAAGGAACAGGUAAGCAAACAAUCUCCUAAUCUCUUUUUAGGCUCUCCAGAAUCAGGCAGCUGUCCAUCACCAUGGGAACUAGAUCUCCCCUGGAGCAUUGAGGAGACUGAAGCCCUCCUCGACAUGUGGGGCAGUGACAGAAUCCAAUAGGACCUGAGGGGAAACACUGAACUUCAACACAUUUAUACAGAGAUCUCUCAAAUGACUGACCAGGGCUUCAUGAAAACAGCAGAGCAGUGCCAGACGAGGGCGACGCAACUGAACCUGAGUAUUAUUUCAAUCUGACAGAGGAAGCAUUAGGGAUCAUCUCAAGACAGUUUUGUAGCACCACAGGAAAGCUGCAAUGACUCAACAAUGACUUCUGGAAAAGAGGUGUUUAAAUAAUGACCUGUGUCUCUUCUCUCCUGCGUUGUUUUCGGAGAGGUUCUGUAAUCUAUCAAAGAGGCACUGUUGCUUUGUUAAGAAACUCAACAUCCAUCCCACUUUUUUUGUCUGAAAUCAGACACUUAUUUAACCCUUUGUAUAGGUGCUUAAAUCUAAGUGUAAUGGACUAUCUGGAUGCAUUUCUGUCAUGUAUAGAACUUAACAAAACCUUUUCAAUGGGAUUGGCUUGAGUGAAUCCUUUAACGAGAAUUGGUCAAAACCACAUGACAUUUUGGACAUCUUGAUUUUGCAUUAAGAUUUGCAAAACAAUAGGCUUGCUAUUAUGCAUAUAUUUGUGUAUUUUAUGCACAUUGGUGUUUAAGCAAUCUUUGUGCUUUUAGGCCUAGUUUCAAGUGAACUCAUUUAGAUUUAAAUUCCUUUGAGUGGGGUUUGAAUGCCUGAUUGUUAUGCUACUGUAUAAUCUCUGUUACUGUAGGAUAUCUUUCUCUCAGUGGGUUUUUAUCUCUAUCUACGUUCACCGAAACACUGAGGUUUCUGUUGUUACCAGCUCUAACCACUGGGGGGAGACAAACAAAAUCCUAUUUUAUCCUCAACAGAUUGUCUAGAGCCCCAUAGUAAGUAACCACUAGAAGUCUGGAAGCACAAGCACCUACUUUUUGCUUAAUCAUACGUUAUUGUUAUAUACCAUGGUGAGAUAGCUUUUGAAACAAAUCCGGUUCUCAGCAUUGAUGGUGUUGGUUGUUCCUCGGAUUACCAUUUGCAUAGAGAGGACACUUUGCAUUAGCAGUGCAUGCUUCAGUGGUCUGGGAGUGUUUAUAUCCCUGUGAGUUUAACACUUCAUGACUGAGAGCUGUCCUUCAUGACAACAGAACCCACAACAACCAUGACUUUUAGCACCAUCUUCAUCUGGAUACUUGCCCUCUGUCUCCAAGAGGCCAGUACACUGUGACUCAAGACUCCUGCAGUGUAAACUAUUUCAGUGGGACACUCAGUCAGUCUCAGCUGUAAGACAGCAGUGCUGUAUACAGUGAGGGCAAUGGACACUAUUUGCACUGGUAACAACAGAAACCUGGAGGAGCUCCUAAACUCCUGAUAGACUCCUGAUAUACCCUUCAGUCUGGGACUCCAUCUAGAGUCAGUGGCAGUGGAUCUGGGAGUGACUUCAGUCUGACCAUCAAGGGAGUCCAGGUUGAAGAUGCAGGAGAUUACUGUUGUCAGUGCACACUACUUAAGUGCCUGGGUGUUCACACAGUGAUACAGAGCCGUACAAAAAACUCCCUCAGUCAGACUGCGCAGUGACUCUACUGCUACAACAGGGAGUUAUUCCAGGUGCUGAGGGGAAGACAGUGACAUGGAAGACUGAUCAGUAGAGGAGGUCAACUUUGAAAAUGGCUAGAAAGUAUCAUACAAAUCACACGUUCUCCAACAUCGUCAUAACUGUCCUAAUCUUCAUGAUCAUCAUCAUCAUCAUGGCUGUAACUUGUUAUAUUGGUUCAUGAACUCAAAGUUUAUAUAAAAGUUAUUUGUAGUUUUGGAACACAUUACCAGUCCAUAUGCAGAGUAAGAUGUACAGAAGGAAAAAUAAUAGGGAUGUUAUUGAUGAUAACCAGUUAUUGAUGUGAUCAUCUAGCAUGCAUUAACCAUUUUCAUGAGCUGUUAGAUCUGUGAAUGAGACAUGAUGUGUUUGAGACACAUAUAUGUAGAUACAUACACUUUACGCUAUUAUCAUAAAGUACAAUAACCAUUUUAUCUGUCUAUUAAUUACAUGGUGAAUCCACCAUAGAUGUUAAACCAGUCCACUUCCUCACAUCUGGCCCAGCCCAGGGUAUUUCACUUAGUUAAACUGUUCAACUGCUAGACUGAUAGCUGUGAGAGUGAAACUGAGAUUUGCAUAAACAGGGAUUGUUGAUUCUGCUUGUCCCAGAAUAGAGCAGCACUGUCACCAUGUUAGCAAUUCAACAUUAUAAAUAUAUUUGUUAUGGAAAGUAACUGUUUAGCAGUGUGAGUUCUGAGAGCCGAUCUCAGAGGUUUAUUAUCACUUGUAUUGGAGCUACAGUAUAACAGGAUCAUUCAGUUGUAGAAAUUAUUGCAGAGUUUUUGUUGGAUCAGAUGCCUUUUUCAUUCUGUUUGAAAAAAUUAGAGUAGCGAUAUGCUACAAUGCUGAAAUAAUAGAAAAAGAUUAUUGAUGUAAAUUAGUAUUGAAACGUGCUGCAAAUUCAUAAGAUAGUGAUCACAGGAAUCAUGAUAAAAUCAACUAUUGGGGUUAUAUUUCAAUUAAAACAAUCUUUAUCUCAGA